AUUAUAAAUAAAAGCAUCCUCACGCUCACGGUAACGUUUUAACUUAACUUGUAACGUUGACACUUCACUCGCUCUUUUAGGCUCAAUCUGUUGCGCAUUAAUUUAACUAUGUUAUGUUUAUUUAAUGUCCGGUUUUCCCCCAUUUAACACAACGGCGAUCGAUAGAAAAUACACUAAACAUGUCGGUGCGUUAUCGUGAGAGCUUUGCCUCUGUCCGCUGAUAUUUACUUGAUAGUUGGCUAAACUUAGCCAGCUAACGUUAACGUUAAGCUCAACUGGUCUGACUAGCUAGUCCUCUUCUUCAUAUCCAGGUCGGCGUGGAGAUCCAGUUACCAGAGAGUGUGAGAGUGUUUCACUGGAGGGUACCAAGGCCCAGCACCGCAGAGAUGGGGUAAGAGGGCGGAGCAGCAACCAAGGGUGGAGCCGAACAUUUGGUGAGACAACAGAACUGUGGGAAAGGGCUGAGGAGACACACACACAAGCGCAUACAAGGAAUCAUCCACCAUACUCCAGUCAGGCCCUUUAGCACAUCUGUCCUCAUGUUCUUUUCCAACCCUGGCAAAAACCCCCUCCCACCUUUGGCCUGGACUUACAUGGCAUCUGCCUUUUACAGUACGAUGUUAGCAGGCACGUGUGCCCACAGCUAAGCAGAAAGCCAGCAAGCCAGCAGAAAGGAAUCUCUGUUUUGUGUAGGGCUCUUGGCCAUCGCUUGUUGGGUGCAUUUGUAAUAAUGCCUCAUACUAAAGUCAUGCCAAACUCUGCUAUGUAAAAAAAACACACAUUAUAUAUUCAGAUGAAUCAUUUGAGUAAAUAGAUAAAA